rnacentral:lncRNA from 12 species
GUAAUUUUGCACAAGCAGAGCUGCUUUCUUACGGCCUCUGUUGCCCCCGCAGGUCGGCGAGCCGCAGCGGGAACCCAGCAGCCUCGGCCCUCGCUGUCCCUCGGUUCGGAGCCCUGUCCUCGCCGCGGGCCUGCUCGGCCUCCGCCUGCCGCGGCUCCCCGGGGCCUGACUCGGAUGUAACCGAUGUUAAAGAACGGAGUGUUUCAAACGUUAGAAAAACUGCCGAACUUUCUGAAUAAUGCUUGACGUAGAGACACGAGAGAGCAGAAGGCAGAAGGUGAGCCCUGGAAAUGUCAGCGUGGCGCCAAGCAAUGACGAUCUCCAGGGGAUCUGCUUUCAUUUUCCCAGGGUAGCUAGUUCUCAACGAGCUUCUCUGAGGUCCACUUGACCUCAUGUUUUCCUCUCAGAGUAUUUUAGAAUCUUAGCUUUGCUUCUGUGAGCCUCUGGACAGGACUGACUGCAGGAUUAUAGGGCCCAGUGCAAAAUGAAUAUGGGGUGCCCUUUGUGCAACAAUUAAGAAUUUCAGGAUGGUGAUGUCGCGUUAAACAAGCGUGGGGCCCUUGUGCUUGCAUAGGUGGCACAGCCAUUGAAGCCAGCCCAGACUCUGGAGCCUUCAGUGGGAUGGGACCAUAUGGACCAUAUGGGCUGGGGAGACUAUCUUUUUUUUUUUUUUUUUUUUUAGGAUGCCAUGGCAUUUUAUGUUCACAGCCACCCAUCACCCUUUGAACUUCCUUGGCACCCAUCCCUCUAGAAGGCGAGUGUUGUCUUCAGGCUCUCACCGGUGGUCUUCCUGGUUCAAAAGCAAUUAUGCAGCUUUCCGUGGAUGCAGGUGUACGAGGUUUGGUUCCAUGAACCCACAGGUGUAAACAGAGACUGUUGUGGAAGCAAAAACCCCCGCCUCCGUCUUCCCGCAGCCAUUUCCACAGAUAUGUACUUUAAGGUGCAUCACUGAUCAUCACUCAAGGUUGGUGAUGGGUAAAUGGGGGUUCUUCGUUAUUAUUCUAUUUUUGUGCAUGUCUGAAAUUCUUCAUAGUCAAAAUUAAAUUUCAAAAAAGAACAAAGCUGACAAAAGUGCAUCAAAGCUGCUUUAGGUUCCCAGGUAGAAGUAUCUCAUUGGGACGACAGAAGAGAGCAGGACGCCAGAACAAAGCCUGUAGUUCCCCAGGUAUCUCAAAACCACUGCAUCCUUCUCUCCUUUCCUUGGGAGCGAGCAGCAUCGCGUCGUCGUGGAUGCAAACGCUCCACCUUUCCUCACCCCACCACAGCUUCCCUUCGCCUUCGCCUUGACCAGCAUUUGCAAGGCAAGAAGAAUUUUGCUUGAGCUUAUUCAUCAUUGACAGACAUUGCCUCAAGAUCGUCUUCCAAGUGUAGGUCUAAAUAAAAUGGGAAAAAUGGCAGGAGUAAGGGGAAGG